rnacentral:lncRNA from 10 species
GGCGGGGCUAGGAAAAUUGCUGCCUGGGUCGGCUGGGCCUGUGGGCCUGCGUCCGACAGCGCGCGGCCGUGCUUUCUAAGCGGGCUCGGCAGCACCAGACUUCACCGGCCCGGCGCGGGGCUCACAAGUGCUCGCACUCCCUGCGGCCGGCGCGCUGACCGGAGCCUCUGGGUCUCGCACGCAGCAGCUGCAGACGCUGCCCGGCGCGGUGGGGCUGUGAGCAAAACGGCCCGCCGGUGUGGUUGCCCAGACUGUGCUGGGCCCUCCUAGGUGGAUGGCCCUGCCCCAGCCUAACUUCUGUACCCCAGCAUAACCUCCAAAGUAACAGCCGUGCCCUGGGAGCCUGUUCAACACUGAACAUAUCCCACAAUAACACUGUUCCAGCGUCGCUGGUAAAAAGCAGAAAUGGCUUCGCUGGAGGCAUCGACAAAUCUAAUGCAGUAACCUCAUUUUACAGAAGAGAACUCUAAGAGGAUAACUAACUUGGCCAAGA